CAAUGAGCGGAUUUUAGGAUAACUCAUCCCCAAUAAGGAUUUCGGGGGUGGGCGUUAACAAUGAAAAUUUUAAAUGUAUGUAACUCCGAAACUACUGAACCAAUUUUUAUCAAUUUUUUUAAGCAUCUGUAAUUUAGUCCAACUUGGGAGAUAUGGUAGUUUUUAUUUCAAUUGGACCAGAUAGGUGGCGCUGCUAUCGGUAUGUAAGCAAUCAAAUUUGGUAGCUGUUUUCCGGGCAGGACAACGUCUGCCGGGUCCGCUAGUUAUAUAUAAUAAAAAGCCUUAUAGUUUUAGAAGUAAAAGAAUGUGUUGACAUUACCAAAGUUUUAAAAUCAGGCGUUAUAUUUUUGGCCAAUAUAAGUCAAUUUACGACAAAAACAACUAAGGUUCCUAAAUCAUUAUCUCAAAUCCGCGAGUUGAUUCAUUAGAUACAACGUAGUAUUAAACUGCCUACAAAGUAAAACAAUUUCAAAA
rnacentral:misc_RNA from 1 species